rnacentral:rRNA from 1 species
CCUACGGGAGGCUGCAGUGGGGAAUAUUGGACAAUGGGCGAAAGCCUGAUCCAGCCAUGCCGCGUGUGUGAAGAAGGCCUUCGGGUUGUAAAGCACUUUCAGUGGGGAAGAAAGCCUUGGGGCUAAUACCCUCGAGGAAGGACAUCACCCACAGAAGAAGCACCGGCUAACUCCGUGCCAGCAGCCGCGGUAAUACGGAGGGUGCGAGCGUUAAUCGGAAUUACUGGGCGUAAAGCGCGCGUAGGCGGUCUGAUAAGCCGGUUGUGAAAGCCCCGGGCUCAACCUGGGAACGGCAUCCGGAACUGUCAGGCUAGAGUGCAGGAGAGGAAGGUAGAAUUCCCGGUGUAGCGGUGAAAUGCGUAGAGAUCGGGAGGAAUACCAGUGGCGAAGGCGGCCUUCUGGACUGACACUGACGCUGAGGUGCGAAAGCGUGGGUAACAAACAGGAUUAGAUACCCUGGUAGUC